rnacentral:sRNA from 1 species
UAUUGUGUUCCAUGAUCUUAACUCCCUCUGUGUACCAAUCCAUGUUGCUUUCCCAGAUGGCGGGUCAUCUGGGAAAGGAUUUCUUAAAACCGAAUCAAUUGAAUCAGCUGUCUGAGUUGGCCCAGUGCCAUAUAUGGUUUAAACAAGUUAAAACUUUCAACAACGGAUCACUUGGUUCUCGCAUCGAUGAAGAACGCAGCGAAAUGCGAUAAGUAAUGUGAAUUGCAGAAUUCAGUGAAUCAUCGAAUCUUUGAACGCACAUUGCGCCCCUUGGUAUUCCUUGGGGCAUGCCUGUUCGAGCGUCACUGCAAACCCACUCAUAAAUAUUAUGGUAUUGAUGGAAGUGAACUGAGUCAAACAAUGUACUUGGGUCACCCCAUUGAAAUGCAUAGGCAGGACGAUAAACCUCUGCAAUGAACUUAGUAACUGUCUGAAAGACACAAACCAGUUCCUU